CCUACGGGAGGCAGCAGUGGGGAAUAUUGCACAAUGGGCGAAAGCCUGAUGCAGCGACGCCGCGUGAGGGAUGACGGCCUUCGGGUUGUAAACCUCUUUCAGCAGGGAAGAAGCGCAAGUGACGGUACCUGCAGAAGAAGCACCGGCUAACUACGUGCCAGCAGCCGCGGUAAUACGUAGGGUGCGAGCGUUGUCCGGAAUUAUUGGGCGUAAAGAGCUCGUAGGCGGCCUGUUGCGUCGGUUGUGAAAGCCCGGGGCUUAACCCCGGGUCUGCAGUCGAUACGGGCAGGCUAGAGUUCGGUAGGGGAGAUCGGAAUUCCUGGUGUAGCGGUGAAAUGCGCAGAUAUCAGGAGGAACACCGGUGGCGAAGGCGGAUCUCUGGGCCGAUACUGACGCUGAGGAGCGAAAGCGUGGGGAGCGAACAGGAUUAGAUACCCUGGUAGUCCACGCCGUAAACGUUGGGAACUAGGUGUGGGUCACAUUCCACGUGGUCCGUGCCGCAGCUAACGCAUUAAGUUCCCCGCCUGGGGAGUACGGCCGCAAGGCUAAAACUCAAAUGAAUUGACGG
rnacentral:rRNA from 2 species